AAAGUCUCUUCACUGAUGUUUUGAAUUGACUACACCAAACAUUCAAGAUUUAAAAUCCUUUAUUAAUCCCACAAUGGAGAAAAUUCACACUGUUGCAGCAGCAAGGGAUAAG